CAACUUUCAACAACGGAUCUCUUGGCUCUCGCAUCGAUGAAGAACGCAGCGAAAUGCGAUAAGUAAUGUGAAUUGCAGAUUCUCAGUGAAUCAUCGAAUCUUUGAACGCACCUUGCGCUCCUUGGUAUUCCGAGGAGCAUGCCUGUUUGAGUGUCAUUA
rnacentral:rRNA from 1 species